CAGCAGUGAGGAAGGUGGGUAUGUUAAUAGCAUACUCAUUUUGACGUUUAGCUGCAGAAGAAGCACCGGCUAACUCCGUGCCAGCAGCCGCGGUAAUACGGAGGGUGCGAGCGUUAAUCGGAAUUACUGGGCGUAAAGCGCAUGCAGGUGGUUUGUUAAGUCAGAUGUGAAAGCCCGGGGCUCAACCUCGGAAUUGCAUUUGAAACUGGCAAACUAGAGUACUGUAGAGGGGGUAGAAUUUCAGGUGUAGCGGUGAAAUGCGUAGAGAUCUGAAGGAAUACCGGUGGCGAAGGCGGCCCCCUGGACAGAUACUGACACUCAGAUGCGAAAGCGUGGGGAGCAAACAGGAUUAGAUACCCUGGUAG
rnacentral:rRNA from 1 species